rnacentral:lncRNA from 1 species
AUAUAUAUAUAUAUAUUUUAAAUCCUAAAUAAUAGUUUUUAAUCACAAACAAAGUUUUAUAGAUCUUAAAAAUGUUUUGUAAAGUCCAAAAAAUCGAAUUUAUAUACAAAAAAACGUUUUGUAAAAUCCUAAAAAUUGAAUUUAUAUACAAAAAUCAUUUUAUAAAAUAAAAAAAUCGAAUUUAUACACAAAAAUUGAAUUUAUAUACAAAAAUCGAUUUUAUAAAUACGAAAAAAAUAAAAAAAUUAUGAAAAAAUUCUAAAUCAAUUCAACAAAACAAAUUAUUCAACCAAAUC